UGCGGUAGGGGAGACUGGAAUUCCCGGUGUAACGGUGGAAUGUGUAGAUAUCGGGAAGAACACCAAUGGCGAAGGCAGGUCUCUGGGCCGUCACUGACGCUGAGGAGCGAAAGCGUGGGGAGCGAACAGGAUUAGAUACCCUGGUAGUCCACGCCGUAAACGGUGGAUGCUGGAUGUGGGGACCAUUCCACGGUCUCCGUGUCGGAGCCAACGCGUUAAGCAUCCCGCCUGGGGAGUACGGCCGCAAGGCUAAAACUCAAAGAAAUUGACGGGGGCCCGCACAAGCGGCGGAGCAUGCGGAUUAAUUCGAUGCAACGCGAAGAACCUUACCUGGGCUUGACAUGUUCCCGACAGCCGUAGAGAUACGGUUUCCCUUCGGGGCGGGUUCACAGGUGGUGCAUGGUCGUCGUCAGCUCGUGUCGUGAGAUGUUGGGUUAAGUCCCGCAACGAGCGCAACCCUCGCCCUGUGUUGCCAGCACGUCGUGGUGGGAACUCACGGGGGACCGCCGGGGUCAACUCGGAGGAAGGUGGGGAUGACGUCAGAUCAUCAUGCCCCUUACGUCCAGGGCUUCACGCAUGCUACAAUGGCCGGUACAACGGGAUGCGACACCGCGAGGUGGAGCGGAUCCCUUAAAACCGGUCUCAGUUCGGAUUGGAGUCUGCAACCCGACUCCAUGAAGGCGGAGUCGCUAGUAAUCGCGGAUCAGCAACGCCGCGGUGAAUGCGUUCCCGGGCCUUGUACACACCGCCCGUCAAGUCAUGAAAGUGGGUAGCACCCGAAGCCGGUGGCCCAACCUUUUGGGGGGAGCCGUCUAAGGUGAGACUCGUGAUUGGGACUAAGUCGUAACAAGGUAGCCGUACCGGAAGGUGCGGCUG
rnacentral:rRNA from 1 species